AUGCCGAAGAUGAAGAUGGCUGCCGUGAAUUGGAUCACACGCGCUGCCACAAAUAGAAAGUCACACAUGAGCACAUGCAGCAGAAGGAGCCAAGCGGAAGGGAAGAGGUGGCGGGCGUCACUGCAGGUGAGACGACGGAUGUCCCCACCACCUCCCAAGUAUUACAAUGUACUUGAAAAAUUCCUUUAUAAAAACCUGGAGCUCCUAGCCAAAGCAGAGGAAUUAGAUGUUCUACAUCCAACUGCCAGUCCCAUAACUCACGCUGUCAGUAUGAAGUUGUUUCUUGUUUGUUUAUUGUUCUUCUCAGGUUUAUCAGGAGGUCACUGUGAUAUACAACUUGACCAGUCAGAGUCAGUGGUGAUAAAGCCGGGAGGGUCUCACAAACUGUCCUGCACAGCCUCUGGCUUCACAUUCAGUAACAUUGAUAUGAGCUGGGUUAGACAGGCUCCUGGGAAAGGAUUACAGUGGUUAUGUAUAAUUUAUCCUAAUGGGGGUACCAUAUACAAUGCUGAUUCAGUUAAAGGAAGAUUCACCCUCUCCAGAGACAAUAAUAACAACAAGUUAUAUCUGCAAAUGAACAAUCUACAAACUGAAGAUACUGCUGUGUAUUACUGUACUAGAGACACACAGUGACAAAUAGUCUCAGAG